ACUGAACAUGUAACAGCUGUGAGCAGCUGGGACAGGUCUCCAAGGAAGGUGGCCCCUAAAGGCAAGAUGGUCCCUAACUGGUUUGGCUCAGUGGAUAGAGCGUCGGCCUGCGGACUCAAGGGUCCCAGGUUCGAUUCUGGUCAAGGGCAUGUACCUUGGUUGCGGGCACAUCCCCAGUGAGGGGUGUGCAGGAGGCAGCUGAUCGAUGUUUCUCUCUCAUCAAUGUUUCUAACUCUCUAUCCCUCUUCCUUCCUCUCUGUAAAAAAUCAAUAAAAUAUAUUUAAAA